GAUGAACGCUGGCGGCGUGCUUAACACAUGCAAGUCGAACGGAAAGGCCCUGCUUGCAGGGUACUCGAGUGGCGAACGGGUGAGUAACACGUGGGCGAUCUGCCCUGUACUUUGGGAUAAGCCUGGGAAACUGGGUCUAAUACCGAAUAUGACAAUUGUUUGGAUGCGAUUGUGGAAAGCUUUUGCGGUAUGGGAUGAGCUCGCGGCCUAUCAGCUUGUUGGUGGGGUAAUGGCCUACCAAGGCGUCGACGGGUAGCCGGCCUGAGAGGGUGUACGGCCACAUUGGGACUGAGAUACGGCCCAGACUCCUACGGGAGGCAGCAGUGGGGAAUAUUGCACAAUGGGCGCAAGCCUGAUGCAGCGACGCCGCGUGGGGGAUGACGGCCUUCGGGUUGUAAACUCCUUUCGCAACCGACGAAGCCUUUUGGUGACGGUAGGUGGAGAAGAAGCACCGGCUAACUACGUG
rnacentral:rRNA from 1 species